CCUACGGGUGGCAGCAGUGAGGAAUAUUGGUCAAUGGACGAGAGUCUGAACCAGCCAAGUAGCGUGAAGGAUGACUGCCCUAUGGGUUGUAAACUUCUUUUAUAUGGGAAUAAAAUGUUCCACGUGUGGGAUUUUGUAUGUACCAUAUGAAUAAGGAUCGGCUAACUCCGUGCCAGCAGCCGCGGUAAUACGGAGGAUCCGAGCGGUAUCCGGAUUUAUUGGGUUUAAAGGGAGCGUAGGUGGAUUGUUAAGUCAGUUGUGAAAGUUUGCGGCUCAACCGUAAAAUUGCAGUUGAAACUGGCAGUCUUGAGUACAGUAGAGGUGGGCGGAAUUCGUGGUGUAGCGGUGAAAUGCUUAGAUAACACGAAGAACUCCGAUUGCGAAGGCAGUUCACUGGACUGCAACUGACACUGAGGCUCGAAAGUGUGGGUAUCAAACAGGAUUAGAUACCCGUGUAGUC
rnacentral:rRNA from 1 species